UGCCCCAUGGCUGAGUUGGUUACAGCGUCCGACUGUUAUCCCAGCUGCAAAGCUGCUAACGCAAUCGGAAGGUCGUGAGUUCGAGCCUCACUGGGGCAG
rfam:Trametes pubescens strain FBCC735 TRAPTBscaffold_1644, whole genome shotgun sequence.